rnacentral:rRNA from 1 species
GGGACACGUGGUAUCCUGUCUGAAUAUGGGGGGACCAUCCUCCAAGGCUAAAUACUCCUGACUGACCGAUAGUGAACCAGUACCGUGAGGGAAAGGCGAAAAGAACCCCGGCGAGGGGAGUGAAAAAGAACCUGAAACCGUGUACGUACAAGCAGUGGGAGCACCUUCGGGUGUGACUGCGUACCUUUUGUAUAAUGGGUCAGCGACUUAUAUUCUGUAGCAAGGUUAACCGUAUAGGGGAGCCGCAGGGAAACCGAGUCUUAACUGGGCGUUAAGUUGCAGGGUAUAGACCCGAAACCCGGUGAUCUAGCCAUGGGCAGGUUGAAGGUUGGGUAACACUAACUGGAGGACCGAACCGACUAAUGUUGAAAAAUUAGCGGAUGACUUGUGGCUG